rnacentral:rRNA from 1 species
AGGGGAAUAUUGCACAAUGGGCGGAAGCCUGAUGCAGCAACGCCGCGUGCGGGAUGACGGCCUUCGGGUUGUAAACCGCUUUCGCCUGCGACGAAGCGUGAGUGACGGUAAUGGGUAAAGAAGCACCGGCUAACUACGUGCCAGCAGCCGCGGUGAUACGUAGGGUGCGAGCGUUGUCCGGAUUUAUUGGGCGUAAAGGGCUCGUAGGUGGUUGAUCGCGUCGGAAGUGUAAUCUUGGGGCUUAACCCUGAGCGUGCUUUCGAUACGGGUUGACUUGAGGAAGGUAGGGGAGAAUGGAAUUCCUGGUGGAGCGGUGGAAUGCGCAGAUAUCAGGAGGAACACCAGUGGCGAAGGCGGUUCUCUGGGCCUUUCCUGACGCUGAGGAGCGAAAGCGUGGGGAGCGAACA